UACGGGGGGGAGCAAGCGUUGUUCGGAUUUACUGGGCGUAAAGGGCGCGUAGGCGGCCUGUGCAAGUCGAGUUGUAGAAUCCUCGAGCUUAACUCGGAACGGUCAACUGAUACUGCUCGGCUAGAGUGCGGAAGGGGCAACUGGAAUUCUUGGUGUAGCGGUGAAAUGCGUAGAGAUCGUAAGGAAGACCAGUGGCGAAGGCGGGUCUCGUGGACAGUUCCUGACGCUGAGGCACGAAGGCCAGGGGAGCAAACGGG
rnacentral:rRNA from 1 species